ACGAUGAACUGGCGCUUGCGUCGGGGAUUAGUGGCGAACGGGUGAGUAACACGUGAGUAACCUGCCCCUAACUCUGGGAUAAGCCUGGGAAACUGGGUCUAAUACUGGAUAUUGACUUUUCCUCGCAUGGGGUUUGGUUGAAAGAUUUUUUGGUUUUGGAUGGACUCGCGGCCUAUCAGCUUGUUGGUAUGGGUAAUGGCCUACCAAGGCGACGACGGGUAGCCGGCCUGAGAGGGUGACCGGCCACACUGGGACUGAGACACGGCCCAGACUCCUACGGGAGGCAGCAGUGGGGAAUAUUGCACAAUGGGCGAAAGCCUGAUGCAGCGACGCCGCGUGAGGGAUGACGGCCUUCGGGUUGUAAACCUCUUUCAGUAGGGAACAAGGCCACACGUUGUGUGGUUGAGGGUACUUGCAGAAGAAGCGCCGGCUAACUACGUGCCAGCAGCCGCGGUAAUACGUAGGGCGCAAGCGUUAUCCGGAAUUAUUGGGCGUAAAGAGCUCGUAGGCGGUUUGUCGCGUCUGCCGUGAAAGUCCGGGGCUCAACUCCGGAUCUGCGGUGGGUACGGGCAGACUAGAGUGAUGUAGGGGAGACUGGAAUUCCUGGUGUAGCGGUGAAAUGCGCAGAUAUCAGGAGGAACACCGAUGGCGAAGGCAGGUCUCUGGGCAUUAACUGACGCUGAGGAGCGAAAGCAUGGGGAGCGAACAGGAUUAGAUACCCUGGUAGUCCAUGCCGUANACGUUGGGCACUAGGUGUGGGGGACAUUNCACGUUUUCCGCGCCGUAGCUAACGCAUUAAGUGCCCCGCCUGGGGAG
rnacentral:rRNA from 1 species